GUCGCUUAAGUAAAGGAUGCUCAUACGAUGAUUCUGAAGAAAUCUGUUGAAUAGGUUCAUCAAGUUCCAAGUAUUACUAAGAAGCCAUUCACAAAUCCCUUGUUCAAAGAAAAAGCAGGACAAGAAAGAUGGCAUACGAUCAAGGUGUAGCAUGAUAGAUUACUGGGUCACCGAAGAAGAGUGACUCGGG